UAAAGCAGUAUUUUACCCGUCUCUGUAGCAAAAGAGUGGGAUGACCUUAUGGUAGAGGCAAAAAACCUAACGAGCUUGGACAUAGCUGGUUGCUUGAGAAAGAAUUUAAGUUCACACAAAAGCAUUUUUACCACGAAGGAAAGCCUGUCUUUUAUAAUAAUUAACUGAGUUACAGCCCAAUUAAUAAAGGAAACAACCCACAUAAAUGAAUAAUGACAUUUUUAAGAAAUUGAACCCAGUAGACUUAAAAGCAGCCACCAAAUAAUAGCGUUAAAGCUUUACUCAAAAACAUCAAUUAUCCCACUAAAUAAUCUUAAUUCAACAAAAUAAUCAAGCUAAUCUAUUUAUAGAUAAACUACUACUAGAAUUAGUAAUAAGAACUUAUUCUCUAUAAUACAAGCAUAUAUCAAAACGAACCAAUCACUGAUAGUUAAUGAAAAUAUUUACCAAAACAAGUAUUCAAUACCUCAAACAUUAACCCAACACAGGAGUAUUUAAGAAAGAUUUAAAGCCUAGGAAGGAACUCGGCAAACUCAGGCUUCGCCUGUUUACCAAAAACAUCGCCUUUUGUAAUAUAUACAUAAAAGGUCCUGCCUGCCCAAUGACUUGUUUUUAAUGGCCGCGGUAUUAUGACCGUGCAAAGGUAGCGUAAUCAUUUGUCUUCUAAAUAAAGACCAGUAUGAAUGGCAAAACGAAAGCCUCACUGUCUCCCUAGCCUAAUCAAUGAAAUUGAUCUCCCCGUGCAGAAGCGGGGAUGAAAAUAUAAGACGAGAAGACCCUGUGGAGCUUUAAACUUUCCUAACAUUCAAAUGCUUAUACCAAGUUUUAGGUUGGGGCGACCAUGAGGCAUAAUGCAACCCUCACAACGAAAACAAGAAGGACACUUCAAACAACUAACAUAGU
rnacentral:rRNA from 1 species